ACCAUCAGUUAUUACGGAACCGACUGCUGCUGGCUACAGAUUCCUGGUUGGUUCAAUGACCAGAAGAUGGGAAUACAAGUCAGUGUAAAUGAAGGUUCUCUUUUGCGGUCCCGAAACGUUUGAUAACUGUGAAGUGUCAAGACUCAAGAGCACCAUGAAAUAAAGAUUGGGAAACCCCCAUUUGCAGCAGACAAGGAGCAGAGCACCGGCAAGAACUUGCUGAAAAAUGGAGCACAGAGGCCUGCUGCCAUUCUGCAGAACACAGCGUGUAAAGAGAAAAAGAAUGCAGAAGUGGAUACAACUGUGGCCACUAUAUAUAGAGUAACGUGAAACACUCAGCUCUACCUGAUCAUCUUCUUCAUUCAUGUACUGCUGAGGAAGAGCCUUCCGGUGAUCCAACUCUUUCUGAAG